ensembl:lincRNA
GGGCGAGCCGGACUGAGAGGCCGUCUGGAAUCGCAGCACAAGCACGCUGAUGGCCACAAAGGUGUAGGCCAGCAGGGUGCCGAUGGACAGGAACUGCACCAGGGCCUCGAUGUCCAGCAGCAGCGUCACCACAGCCGUGAGGGCCCCGAACACUAGGAUGCCCAGCAGAGGCACCUGCGUCCGGGGGUGCACGUAGGCAAACGCCUCGAAGAACAGCCCGUCGACGGCCAUGGCGUAGAUAAUCCGCGGCAGGCAGAAGAGGCCGUUGAGCUGGACAGUGGUCAUGGCUAUGGCAGAGAGCGAGGGCUGGUCAGCGCGCCCAGCAGGCAGGAGCCCCAGAGGCCGGUCCCUGGGAGCCUGUGCCUGAGUUUAUCUGGGUUCUCGGAGGGAGCCUGAGUGUCUGCAAGGUGCAGGGUGGUUGCCCCUCUUCCAGCCCAGGAAUGGGAUGCCUCAGCUAGGCUGAGGGCUGGGGGCCGGCAAUCUGGUGAUGGCUGAGUCCCUGUGAACGGGAAGCACGUGCCCAGGCCGACAUCCCACAUAUAAGGGGGCCAGCGGGUCCGUGCCCACAAGUCUGGGUGGAGUCUGAUAAUUAGCACCUCCCACGCACUGAGAGGCUCCUCAGAACCUGGUGGGCUACAGUCCAUGGGGUCGCAAAGAGUCAGACACGACUGAGCGACUGCACUGGGCUACAGCUCGUAAAACUGAAGCCCAGACGGAGAUGUGUGUCCCCCCUCCACCACCACCCACUCCGGGAGACCAGGGCAGGACCCCACUCACCACAGAUGGAGCCAGUUGCCACGAGGUAGCCAGCCCAGCCGUAGCCCCGCUGGUAGAAGGCGUCGGCGAGCGCGGAGUUAGGGUUCAGACUGUGCCAGGGGAUCAUGAGGGUGAGGACAGCAGAGACCAGGAUGUAGGCGGAGGCCGCCAGCCCCAGUGACAGGGCGACGGCCAGGGGCACGGCGCGCUUUGGGUUCCGGGCCUCCUCGCUGGAGGCAGCAAUGACGUCGAAGCCCACAAAGGCGUAGAAACAGGUCGCCGUGCCAGACAUGAUGCCGGAGAAGCCGAAGGGCGCAAAGCCACCCUCCGCCUCGCCCCAGUUGCUGGGCCGCGCGAGGAUGAAGCCCAGGACAACGAUGAAGAGGAUGACGGCCAUGCUGACGGCCGACAGGGUGUGGUUGAGCCAGGAAGAGACGCGGGCCCCGCAGGAGACGAAGGCGGAGGCCAGAAGGACGAUGCCGGCAGCCAGCCAGUCUGGACUUCUGGCCAGGAAGGGCACCUGCCAGACGCCCAGGUGGGCCUCGGUGAAGUUGUGGAUACGGUGGUCGAACAUGGCGUCCAGGUAGCCGCUCCAGGCGCGGGCCACGGCGGCACCGGCGAUGACAUAUUCAAGCACGAGGUUCCAGCCGAUGAGGAAGGCCCACAGCUCGCCCAUGGACACGUAGGUGAACAGCAGGGUCAAGUCCAGCGUGGACAGGCAGCGCUGCAGCGACGUCUCCAUGGCGCUGUCCUCCAGCGGCUUCUGCCGCUUCAGCUUCUGGCAGAACUGCGCCAGGCCGGCAGCACAGGGCCGUCCAGGAGCCAUCGUGGGCCGAGAGGAGCCGAGCGGAGCCGGGAGCCAGCUGCAGGCACCUGCCAGGGCCAGAGGGGAGUGACCGCUGCCCCGCCUGCUGCGUGAUUGCACCCCGGGUCCCAAGUGCCCUUAAUAUUGGGCUGCCAGAGGGAUGGGCUGGGCUGGGCGGGAGGGCUGUCUGCCUCCAGGGCAGGGCAGGGAAUCCAAGUGGAGCUGAAUCUGGGCCUGUUAUGUGUG